rnacentral:lncRNA from 14 species
UACACUGAAUUAAAAGGCAUAUUCUUUACUUUUAUCAGUAAGGUGCUGGGAACAUUUUGAGCAAUGCCCUCCUCUCCUGUGUAUUGUGACAGUGGAUCAAUGGAAGGAAACCUGAGCCCAAACUACCUGCCUGCAGACUUCUCCAAAAUGUCUUAGCAGCCCAAACUUCAAAAAAGGAUGAUAGUUCUGUUAUGGUCUUCUCCCAGAAGCUGUGUCAGUCUUGCCACUUUCGUAACUAAAAGGAGGAAAGCAGGUCCUCAGGGUCACAGGCAUGGGUGGAAAAGCCUGUGACCACCAGGAUAUGUGUGCAGAGCUGAUGACCUUUGAGGUGGAAAUUGUCUUGCUGGCUCUGCCUCACCAUGAGGCUGAAAAACAGCAUCUUGACAACAGCACAACUCUCCAGCCAUGGUGUGCUGCUGAUAGAGCUGGCUGCUGCCUAUUCAAGGCUCAGGAUACACCUGGAGAUGAUCACAACCCCCUUAAUAUACCAGAGCAGGAAAGUGGAAUUGGACUGGAAGAAGAUGAGUGAAUGGAGAACAGAAACUUAUCAAAUGUUAUGAAGUCUUGAAGGACAGAAGAUGGACAAAAGCAAUGGGUGACUGUAAAAAAAUAAAUCCUGGUUGGAAAAGGAUUGUGGAGCUUGG